GAUGAAGAACGCAGCGAAAUGCGAUAAGUAAUGUGAAUUGCAGAAUUCAGUGAAUCAUCGAAUCUUUGAACGAACAUUGCGCCCGCCAGUAUUCUGGCGGGCAUGCCUGUUCGAGCGUCAUUUCAACCAUCAAGCCCUGCUUGCGUUGGGGUCCUGCGGCUGCCCGCAGGCCCUGAAAACCAGUGGCGGGCUCGCUAGUCACACCGAGCGCAGUAAUACAUCUCGCUUUGGGCGUGCGGCGGGUUCUUGCCGUUAAACACCCCCUUUUUACCAAGGUUGACCUCGGAUCAGGUAGGAAUACCCGCUGAACUUAAGCAUAUCAAUAAGCGGAGGA
rnacentral:misc_RNA from 1 species